rnacentral:lncRNA from 1 species
CCGCGAAGAGCGUAUCGAGCGAAUGUGAUUUUUCCCCCUAUAAGAGAAUUGAGAGGGGGCCCGCAACCACAUUGUCAUCUCGAUCCGCGAUCCGUCAGCACUGUACAGCAUGUUUCCGUUCCCGAUUGUGUUGUUGUGUUUUGGCGCGGUGGCGCUCGCCGCCGAAAGAUCGCCGGAGGCGCAUGGACGUCAAGUUGUGUUGACCCAGCUCAUACUGCCGAACGGACAGUACCCGGGCCCGGCCAAAGUCAUCGAAGCAGCCGCCCCCUUGCCUGCAAGACAAGUCUCGUACACUAUCCCCCAGCUUAAACCUAAUUACGUUGACGGGUUCCAAUAUUACCCGGUUUUCCCGGGUCAGGCACCUGUGCCUUAUGGUGCAAGUCCCUUCAUCUACUACCAGCCUGGCGCUCCCUAUCCGGCCUACGUUCGAGACGAACAGGGAAGUGGAGGAGGUGGAUGGAGUAACCUCUUCAAUGGUUGGCAAAAUUAUAUCCCCAGCUAUCUCCAAGGUGGCCAAAGUGGCCAAAGUGAAGCGCAAGGAGAAGAACAAAGUGAGGAACAAGAGGGGGGAGACAAGCAGAAGCCCCAGAAAGUGCAACAGCAAAUCCAGCAACAGCAGCUCCAACAACAACAAUUCCAGCAACAACAAGAGCAACUCCAACAGCAACAGAUCCAACAAGUUCAGCAGCAGAUCAAGCUUCAACAAGAACAGCUCCAACAGCAGCAGCCUUCCCAGGUGUUCUACAACCAGCAACCGGCGCCUGAGAGCAUAGGCAACCAGAAGGACGGAGCUCCUGCCGGUUUGCAGAACCCGGCAGCGACCGCCCAGUUCCCCCAGUUCCUGUACGGUGCUCAGCCCCAGUUUUUCGGGCCGUACCCGUCGCAGAACCGCGUGAGCCAGGACCCUGACAAACUGACCGCGGCCUCUCACGGCGCUGUCUCCAACUACUUGUUCCUUAAAAACCAGCAACAACCCGCAUUCCAGCACACGCAACAGCGGUACGAGAGUCCAGCGGCAGAGCCCGCGCCUCUGGCGGCCGGCGGUCGCGGGCGACCCGCAGCUGCGGCGGCCCCGGGGAAGAGACUCGAGCUGGAGAGAUAUUCGGCCGACGCCAAGAACCAAAGAUCUCCUCUUUACGCCCAGCACGUCUCUGCGUUGCAGGUUUCCGCCGACCCCGCCUCUAUCCAAGGUCCCUCCAACGUCUAAAAAUCCACAGUCAUCUGAUCGCUCAAGCGUCACCUGAAGCUCUGGCCGCCGCGGGGCAAGGAGGCAUGGCAGGCGCUGGCCCCACGGGGCAGGCCAUCGUAGGGGACAGGGGGCUCGCCCUCUCGGCGCCCAAAAGCACGGCCAUCGCCGGUCACCCCGACAUCGAGGUCGUCAUCACCGGGGACAAAAAACCCGGCUCCAAACCCAAGAAGCCCGUCGCCAAAUAUUCGAAGAGCAAAGGCUACCACAUCGACUACUCGUCUUGAGGUCUCCAUUCCACCACCGACUAAAUUUCACAAACGGGGAGAAGGACUUUCGGAUUAUAUCCGUUCCCUUCCCGCUGUUUUACCAUUACUGUUCCUUACCGUCAUCGAAUAAUUGACGAACUUCCUUGACAGAAUAUUGGCAUAUGUUCUGCCGUGUAGAGGAACAACGCCCUAAGAACCGUCAGGCGUUGCCAAACUUCCAUUUUAAAAAGCACGAAUUUCCUGGAAAACUCGUGAAUAUUUUUCUUCCAAUUUUUCAGAUGAUGUUGUUUGCAAUUUCACCUGAAGUUUCCUGAAAUUUUUGAGGAAAAAUAUUCAUAACCUUCCUCAAAAAUAAACAUUUUGUCAAAGGUUUGGCAAUUCUCGAAAAUUCAUACGGCGUUCUUCUUCAGCACGGCAGCGUUGGUCAUCAUUACGCGAAGAAUUAUAGUAAUGUAACGACUUUGAAGAUGACUCAAAAUUUAAUUUUCAAGCGUAAAAUUUACCAACAUUUUCCCUGUCAUUUAUUAUUCGUUUAGGGAUAGUUUCCUGUCUAUUCCGAAUAAUUUAAGCCAGCCAGCUUUAACGUUUGCUGAUCCUUAAGUGUAUGUGCCAUUUUAUUUUUUAUGCUAAGUAGGGUUGGAGUAUUAAAAUGCUUGGAGAUUUCUUUGGUAUCCAAAUACGACGUUGAAUGCAUCUUAUGAUCAUGAUCACCACACACAUUUGCUUGAUCUCGUUCUAUUUUUUAUCAUUUUCGAGUCGCAUAUUUCUCAAUUUUUUAUUGUAUCUACACGGAUUUUGAUAGAAACAUAUUUUGAAAAUAAUUUAAAAAUUCUGAGUUUGGCUUUUAUAUAAUGAGUCUCAGUUUAAAACAUUAAUUUUCAAUUUGAAAAUGAAUAUUCAAAGUCGAGUCUUUGAUGUUGGGUUCAUCAUGGAUCCUAGCUCUAUUUAAAAUCAGUGGGUCUUCACUUUCCGUCCAUACAUUGUAUUGGUCCAAAAUGGGUUUUUCAAAGUCAAGUCAAUUUUUAUUUAAUUUAGAAGGGCUGUUCAAAAAAUCUGAAUAAGUUCAUAAUUCGUGCCACUUGUGUAGUAACAAGGACGCCUCAGUGUGAAUCUUGUAUUGUGCAUUUGGGACUGUAAGAUAAGUUUCUUAUAUUUUUUUUUGUUUCGUUUUGCUACGUUUAUUGUCCAUUUCCCUUGACUACAUUUCGAUUCGAUAUUGGUAAACUUUCCUUGCAGUGCUAAAGUUUUAAAUCUUAGUAACAGAUUGAAUUGAAAGUAAUGUGGAUGAAUAAACGUUCAGGAAAAAUCUGUACGCAAAAAUUGCAAAUUACGUGUCUCACUUUCCCAUCACCCCUCUCUGUUCGAAAAUUCCAGCUGUAUUUGUCACACAAUCUCUACAUCCUGCCAUUUAUGAAGAAACUGUCACUGUAAGUACAUUGAAAUUCCUUCUCCAGUCGACAGCAUAAGUAUGCUUUAUUGCAAUCAUUUCACAUGACUCAAGAUGGAAGCUAUCUGAAUGACAAGUUGUGUGCAUGAAUCAUUUUCAAAUCGCAGACGGGUUGAUAUUUAAUCGCAGACUGUAAGAAUUAUAAUUCUUCUUUUGGAUUCUAGUUACUAUUGUCAUACUUUUUGGAAGUCAUGAUGUCAAGAAGAGGUGAAAAAUUCAUUAGAACCCAAUAAUUUUCUCAGAAAUGCUCCUCACUAAAAAUAUUGAUAAAAUUCUAGAAAUUAAAUGCGGCAAGAUGUUAUUGCUUUUUCAAUAGAGAGGAGGUCUCUUCUCUAGUAUUAACGGCAUAAAGAAUAUUUUUAUCCGAUGAUGACGAGACGAUCGUUAGUUGUAAAGCGAUUAUGAGUUAUAAGAUAAAUAUAUUUUUUCUUGACACAAGCGAAAAAUAAGAAGAACAUUGAAUGUCAGCGUGGAUGGUACGCAGAUACCAAAAACACUAAAAUAAUGUGUGACGUGUAAAAGAGCAGAAAAUUGAGAAAACUCAGGUAUCUGUUCAAAAAUGCACCUUCAACAACUAGGGACGGCCAAAAACAUACAGUUAUGCACACAAAGGUAACUAGUUUGACCUGAAUGGUCACCUAUCAAUAACUAUAUCAAGCUGGCAUUACACUGAAAUUAAUUAGAUGUGAAUCAUACUCGCAACUGAUUAAAGAAGCCUUUCCCUUCUGUUACUUUUUUUCUAUUUAAGGACACCCCACAGGUUUCAUGAGUUUUACCGAUUAAUUUUGGAAUGACUCAGCUUAGUCAUACGAUUAUAUUCACGGCUUAAUUCAACCUGUUGCUUUUAAUUUAAUAUGUGUGAUAAACUUCAGAAAUGCUCUGAAAAUUACGAAUAUUGAAGUUGAUAGGUGAUUUUCCUUCACAGGAACAAAUUAUUCUUAGAAAAAGUGCAUUAUCACAAAUACCUAAGACACGCAUAUGAUUGUAUUUUUUCAAGUUUUUUCCUUAUUUUCCAACGCAAAGAAAAUAUUCGCACUCGAUCUUAGGUGCAUUCGUGCGAAUCUAGUUAUUGCUCCAUCGGCAAAACGAAGUGACUAUACUUGUGUAUCUCAAUGUUAUAAAAACAUUUUCAUCGCGCAGCGUUGACAAUGUACCUAAUGUUGAAGCGACGCUUUCUGAAUGCGAGAGUUUUCCCACACUAGAUCUUGAAAAACGACACCGUGCAAUGCAAACAAACGAAAAGAAAACAUUGCGAUUGGACAGCAACAUAUGGAGGAAAAGGCACUGUCACCAAAUUAUUUUGAGUUAUACCAGGCUCGAUUAUUUUAAGUUAUUGGAGCUUUAAUUCGGGUAUUGCAUCGUAUGGCGCUCAUUAUGAUAGGAGAAAGAGAUGUAGUCGGCGCAAGCACAUUCUGAAGAUAUUUUUAGAGCGAUUGUCCGCAAAACUUGGAUAUUCAGAGGUUAUUUUUUGAGGAUUCUGGAAUGAAAUUCUAUACGGACAGUUACCAUAAACGAUCCAUUGUAUUGCAUUAUUCUUACGAGAGUAACGCAUCGCGAAGUUUCUGUUCGUGAUCUAAAACGCAAAGCUCAUUUCGCUCCACUGGGCAGAGUCCCCUCUCCCUCAUUCUUACGGUAAAUAAAUAUAUUUAGAAACCCUGCGCUGGUAUCUUGGACUAAAAGGCAUUUUCAGAAAUCAACGUUCAAAAUCGCUUCAUGCUAGCUGAUGAUCAAAGCGUUGAGGGAUAUUUUUGGCAAACUUGACCUAAUUUCUUAAAAAUCACGUCACAAAAUGCUGCUCACCUCAAUAUUCACCGAUCGUCAUGAAACGAAAAGUAGCGCUGACCUCUGAACUUAACUUUUACUUCACCUGAUUAUAUUUUUUUUAGAUUGUAGUGCGGAGUCCCUAAAAGAUACUGUCUCUUGGGACAAGAAUUACGUAGAACGCAAGUCUGCAAACUAGGUUAGGUGUACUAAACCAAUUGAUCGGCACUAAUGGGCCAUAAGUGGUGAAUCUGAGCGUUGACUUCCGACUUUAACUUUCACCCUGUAGGAUAGAUAGUCUGUGGUCUCUAGAAGAUUCUUCUUUUGAUUUCAAACAAAAGGCUUUUGUCGUUCGUCGUGUGUAAAGUGCGAUAAAAGUCCGUUCUGCUCCUACCUAGAGUACCUGUAUACGGGAGAGUAUUGCCACCUCUGUGCUGCUCUCUGAUUGGUUCAUCAGUUGUGGAGCUCUAAAAUUCGUCCGAUGUAAACAAACCCGACCCAGAGGAACACGUAUUAUCGGCUGAGAAAUGAAUGAUAAUUACACUCAAAUCUUAAUUUUCGGCAAAGACAUCCAUCAAAGUUUGAUCAUUUUGUGAUCAAAUAUCUAUCACAUCCAAAACCACGUCUAGAACUUUGUAGAACUUUGUCGUCAUCGUGUUUGCUUACAUUGAGCCAAACUAGGAGCGGAGGGGCUGGGUUCGUCUACAUUGGUCCAACUUUGGGGCUCCAUGAUAGCCGACCAAUCAGAGAGCGGCACACUUUUUCCGUGGUAAAUGGAUUGAGAUGGCAACUCUCCUGUACACAGGUACUCUACUCCUACCGACAACGACGCUGCCGAACUGUGGUAGAACCACGUAAAUGCGAUGGGGAUUCCCACGCAUAUCCGCCGUUUUGGGCAUGCGAGGCGCGACGACUGAAGUUCAAGGUCGCGGGGCCAAGUUGCGCUUGUAGCUUUUUCUGGCGGAUCCGAUUUUGUAGUGGGACUUGGAGGGGCCGCCGCGCGCCCAGCUCCGAGCGCAUCGCGGCGCUUCAUUCCCGUGCGCGGCCUCAUGGAUUACUCCACAAUACUCAUUUUCCUG